GGUGGGGCCGGGUUAAAGAGCGCCGCGUCACGUCCGGGAGACUUAGAGCCCGAGCGGAGGCGGCGCGGAGCGUUUCGGUUCUCAGCGGCUGGGGAACCGGUGUGUGGUGUGAGGCUGCGGCGGAGCCUCUACACUGAAGGCGCGAGAGGUUGGCAGCUUCGAUUGAAGCACAUCGAGCGGCGACAGCAGUGGAAGUCAUGAGCGACAGCGGCGAGCAGAACUACGGCGAGCGGGUUAAUGUUGAAGAAGGAAAAUGCGGAAGUCGUCAUUUGACAAGUUUUAUAAAUGAGUAUUUGAAGCUCAGGAAUAAGUGAAGCUGAAAUUUGAAAAAAUAAAAGAAAGAAUGCAUGCUAAUUAUCAGACCAGAAGUCCCACUUGUAGAAUAUUGAGCAAUUUGUGUGAAGUGGGGAAGAUGAAAGAAGUCAGAAUUUGAAACGGAAGAAUGAAGAAAAGAAAUAAAAAUGAAGUUAAGAUAAGAAGUAAUCUGGAAUCAGAAAGCACUACGCUAAGUAAUUACUAGUCUGUUUAUGUGUCCCUGUAUAUUUUGCUAAACAUGCAUGCAUUAUUUGUUUAAUAGAAGAAAUAUAUACAGGGUAAAGAAGUGCCUUCCAGGGGAAACGUUUAAAUUAGGUAAUUCUAAUUUUAACUUCUUAGUGAACUGACUGAAAUGCAACUUUUAAAAAAAUAAUCCUUUGUAGUCAAAUAGGAGGCAGGAAUGAGCUCUCCGAUUUGGGUAACAGCCGGCUUCAUGUUGUCUCCUGGAUUUUUCAUCUCUGACAUUGCUGGUCCUGGGGCGUGAGUACUUCCAGAAUUGAAGUAGGUGGUCUAGGCCACCCUCUCUGGACUCAAUGUACUGACCCCUAUCCUUCAGUACAGCUCAGUAUAAGGAGAAUGUUGUAAGUUUGUCAAAGUUUUCCUAAAGAAUGUUACCAGGAUGGUUAUAGAACCAAACCCCCAAAAUCCAUUGGACAGGAUCCUUCCUUUUGGCAUUUAUGAAAAAAUGAAUUUCUUUUUAUAUGGCAAUAGUGGAAAACUAUGACCAUUUAGGCCCUAACUUUAAGAUGCAUGUGUGCUAAAUUCGCAAGAUAUUUCUUAAUUCUUUGUUUAAUGCUUAUUCCAGCUGAAUGACUGGGGUUACUGCUAAAAAGUUGUAGGGGCUUCCCUUAGAAUGAGACAGGUCAUAUAAGUGAACAGGAUACCUAACUCAACAGUGGCAGUAACAGUAAGUGCCUUAUUCCCUUUUCUCAAUUUCUGCUAUUAACUUAACUGUUAAAAUGGUGUGAGAGAUAACAGAUCAUAAAGUAGCUUUGUUUCUGGUUCUCUACUCCUACCACUUACUGGAAAAAUAGACCCAAAAGUUCUGUCAUUUCCCUUUUCUGUAUGCUUGUUUUAACUGAACAGAAGAGUCAAAUGAUUGGUGCAGUGUUGUUACUUUCAGUUGGAUGGGGAAAGUUCAUGUGUCAAAAUAAUACCCAGUAGUAGGCAACCAACAGAUAGCUUCUACUCUAUCAGGAAAACUAAGGCUAUCACUUUACCCUGAAAUUAAGAUUGCCUAAAAUUAGAGUUUUUGAACCUCAUAACUCUUGGGGCAGUGUCUUAAAUGACUUUUUAGAGGGAUUCAUUUUCUGAUACUUCAGGGCCUAUUUGUGUCAAAUUUGUGCUUUUUCAAUUCUGUAUCUUGCAAGCAGAAGAUUACACCCAUUUAUAGUUUCCAUCAUUUGCCCUGAUAAUUACUUUGUAGAAUAUGCCACAUAUAAACUAAUAACACUAAAUUGGUAGUGUUAGUUUUGCAUUCUGAAUUACUUACACAUUAGGCUGAGGCAAGUGAUGUGAAUGGAUAUUGUGUCUUUAUUCAAGCUCAUUGAUUCUUUAUCAGGAGACCUGAAAAGUCCUUGGCGUCUGAAAGAGAAAGUAUCUGUUAGUCUUGUAAGGGGAAGAAGCAUUUUGGAGUUUGUUUAUAUGGCAAAAGCUGGAAAGGUGUAAAGCAAAAGUAAACAUUGAUGCUAGUGGCCCAUCUCAUCCAUUCAGGUUUCUGCCCCCCUUUGGCCAAAGCAUCUUUGAGUCUGAGUGUGCCUCUCUCCACCUCCUGCCUGCGUAGUAGCCGGAAACAGACCUCUUGUCCUGGGGCAAAGCGUAAGGUACAUGCCCUCAGGAUGGCUAACAAAUGACAGGGUGGGGAGGUGGGGGCAGAGAAGGUGACAGAAAACAGGGUUUCAGGAAAAUGUUGAAAAAAACAAAUAAGCAUAAAACUUGAAAUUAGUCAGUGAGACUUAAAUAAGCAUCACAAAUAUGUAUGGUGUUUUUUAAGAAAUGCAGAUGCCCAACUCCAGACCUACUAAAAUAAGCUCUAGUUGGGGAUCUAUUUUUAAAUGCUCAGUAGACUUAAUAUAUAUCUGUAAGAGCCUUUGUUGAAGAUCUACUUUAUUGCAUCUAGCUUUUAAAAUAUGUGAGAAACCUAGCAAUUGGAUGGUUAUUCCUACUUCUUUCAUCUCUUUCAAAAAGUUUUUUUAAGAUUCUGUCAUUCUCAGAAUAGGGAGAUACUGGCUGGUAUUUUGUUGGAAGGCUGAGUUUGUUUCUCCCUGAUGUGUUCCCUAUUGAUUAGUACAUGACUAAGAUUCAGUUUGUAAGAAUUUGAUUCCCUGUGUGGUUUUCAGGGAAUUUUUGGUUGUGUGGUUCAUGCUAACUUUACAUUUAUGAUCCUUUCCCUUGAGGUAUUGGUAGGGUUUUAAUGUGUUAGCAUUGAAGAGUUGUGAGCCCUGAAAGUGGUCUUUGAAUUUUUUUCGUGUUCAGGGGCUUUUCUAGCUGAUUUUACAGAUGUAACCAUGGACCAAGGUUUAAAGCUAACUUUGUGCUUCUAGAUUUGGCCUUCUAGACAGGCUAAAUAUCCUUGCAUAUAUUUCCAAACCAAUUAAUAGCCAACAUAAUUGCAAAAGGGUUUAUUUAACUUUAAGACUAUCUCUGAUAUGAAAGGUAGGCGGUAGAGAUAGUGUUUCUGUGUUAGCCUAACAACUGUCAGUACAGAAGACUUAGUGUUCCAGUGGUUUCUCCUAUUACUGUUCUGAGAAAUGAUUGUUCAUAAAAUACAUCUGCAUAUAGCCAAUUAGUUUUAGAGGUUGAGUGAAAAGUCUUAUAAUUUCACAAAUACUGUUUUUUUUGACCCUUGAUCUGCUAGAAACCUCAUUAAAGUUUAUUCUGAGGCUAUAAGGACUUUCUUUUCCUUCUUGGUGAACAGAUUGGUAAAGCACCUUAGCUUAGAAUAAGACUUUUCUGUUUUACUGAAGCAAGAGGCUUAAAAGAGGAUCUUGACUUUCUACUCUUUUUUUCCAGAUCCCUAGACGAACUGAUUUCUGAUAACUAUAGUUAUUUUAUUGGUAAUCUUUUAACUCUUACUGUGAGGCACCCAUAUUCUCUCCCUUCUAGAGCAGAUUGCUUUCUUUUGUUUCCACUAAAUGUCAUAGUCUUUCCAUAAAGUCAUCUUUCUAGCAUUGGAAUAAGCAAAGGUGUUAGAAUCCCUCUUUCUACCUUAUCUUCUAGAUUAGUUUUUGCCUGUUGAAUGAUUGCAGAAACUGCAUCCCCAAUUUGAGAACCUCUUUAUCCCAGGAGAAGAGAAUUGUGCUUUUAAAUGUCCAGAAUAUUUGCCAGAGAAAGUCAAGGGAUUGUUAGUUGGGGUCCUCAAAGCAAAGCCGUAGUGCUUUCAUCAUUCCUUGAGGAUAAAAGUAGCUAUUUUCACUAAUAAUUGCGGGUGUCAUCUUUUACUUUGACUCUCUUCAUUAACUCAUGGCAGGAAGGGAGAGUAGCCAUGUUUCAUGCCAGUUCAUACAAUGUGUGACUUUGAAAUUUAGUCAUUUGGGGUAUAGAGACCAGAAUUCAUUUUGCCCACUGAGUUACUUUAAGCCUUGUUUUUUCUGUAUUGCAUGUAAGUUUUGUCCUUAAGCAUCAUAGGAAAGAUCUUCCAAAUUUUCUCCACUGUUCUCUUAAGUCACAGAACGUAUUCCAAAAUGUUUUGGGCUGUGUUUUAGAUGAAUUUUCUACCUUUAUCUUUUUAAGAAUGGCUGGAGUGUUUUAUUCUGAAAGUCUGCCACAAAGGGAGGUCUCUUGUGAUAAAGUUUUAUGCCACUUCAACAUUGUUACCCCUACAGUGACUUAACUGUAAUAUUGAUUCCUUUUGAGUCUAGCAUUUUUAUUCUGUGUUGGGCAGGAAGAUUAUGAGAUUAAUGCUUUUAAAUUUGAUGAAGGUGGAUAACCUGAAAUGUUGUUUUGUUUGAUAGCUUGGUUAGUUGUCAGACUGAGUUAAUUGUUGUCUUUUCCACCAUUUCUAUUUUGGUGUCUUGGCAGAGCAUUCCUUUAGCUUUUUUCUCUAAUUAUAUGUCUUUGGUUCACCAAACUAGUUAUCCUGUUUACCCAUUUCUUUGCUAUUUCCUUUGAGAGAUUUUGUUUUUGUACAGCCUACCUACCAGCUAGUCACAGUUAGGAUAGGAGAAAGCUUAGGUAUAAAGUAUAUAUCUAGAUGUUGUUUUUUACAUGCAGUUCCUGAACUUCCCUUCCUGAACCUAGAUUAAGAGCUUGUGAUCUAAACUGUUUCAGUUUUAAUAUGUCCUUUUUGUACGUAACUUUUCUAACUGCUUAUUCCCAGUUUCCCAUCCAUUGGCCCUGGCUCAUCUACACUUAGCUGAGGAAAAUCUCUGGUACCCUCUUAAUUCUUACCUCUGCAGUUCAUUCACCGUCUUUUGACUGUAGCUUCAUCUGGUUGCUUUGAGAUCCAUAAGGGCUUCCUACAUAGUUGGAUGGACAGGGUCUACAGAUCUAGUCUCCUUCAAGCUGCUCCUUGUUCUCUAGGUUUCUGUCUUCCUCUGUGACUUGAAACAGUACUGUCCUUGUCUUUUUUCUCCACUCAGCAAUAAAUGUUGAAAAUAAAGUAAAUUUUACAAAUUUCAUAGGGUUUUUUUUUUUUAAUUGAUGGCAGUUUGACUGAAAUAAUAGGUAUGAAGUAUAGGUGUCAUAGUUAAUAAGGUUCUUUCUCACCCCAGUCUUUACGGAGUAACAUUCCCAAAACAAUCCUUGGGCAGUUCCCUUAACUGCUUGGCUUUGGCACCCAUUUCUGAAGAGUGGGGUCAGUUAACUCUUAUCCCUGCUCCCCAAGAAAGGUGGAAGUUCAAGUUAAUUGGCUUAUGUCAAUUGGAGCAACGUAACUAUUAUACCAGGUAUAUUCAGUUCUGCCCUUACCUAUGUUUUCUUAUCUUGGAAGGGGAUUGCUUUCCCUCACCAUUUAUCUCACCACAGCUUAUUUGUUUUUAAAGUUGCCCAGAAAGUAUACAAAUUAAACUUUUGACAUCUACGUGUAGGAAUCCCGUUCUGCUUCCAGAAGUGGAAGUGCUCAUGGAUCUGGGAAAUCUGCAAGGCAUACCCCUGCAAGGUCUCGCUCCAAGGAAGAUUCCAGGCGUUCCAGAUCAAAGUCCAGGUCCAGAUCUGAAUCUAGGUCUAGAUCCAGAAGAAGUUCUCGGAGGCAUUAUACAAGGUCACGAUCUCGGUCCCGGUCCCAUAGAAGAUCUCGUAGCAGAUCUUACAGCAGAGAUUAUCGAAGACGGCAUAGCCACAGUCAUUCUCCCAUGUCUACUCGCCGGCGUCAUGUUGGGAAUCGGGUAAGAUGAAAACAAUUGUUUCUGAAGCAGUGAACACUGUAUGAAGCCACUUUAUAGUUAACGUAUAAUAUAUUCUCCUCUGUAUUUGGUGUUUUGUUCUGUAAUAAUUUAAAACUGAUAACUUUUGAUGGUGGAGCUUUAGCCUGAUUUUUCUCUAGAGCCUUUUCAGUGUUGGGAGAUUUUUUUCUUUUUAAAAGUUAUUUCCCACAUAUGGUCUACAUUUGAGCUGUUGAUCACAUUUGAGAUAACCGUCACAUUAACAGCACAUCAAAUAAAUUCUUUGCAUUACGGUUAAUAUAGUUAGAUCAUAUAUCUAUGUUCCAUACUAUUGUUCAAGUUAUCUGGGUUUAAUAUGCUUUAAAAUACGCUAUGAUUUUCCCAUUUAGUUUUAAGCAGGUUUCUUUCCAGUUUUAAAGCUUUGCUUGUCUUCCAUGAGAAGUUACAAAUGAGAUGGCAUUUAGUGUGUUCCUGUUAUGGGUUUAUUGAAUAAUAUACAAGUAGACCUAUAGGGAGUGUAUGUUUUUGAAAGUGGGGUGGAAUUUAACUAUAAAAUGUAUGUGUGAAGUAGUGAAACCUUUAAGCAAACUCAACGGCAACUGGGAUGUCAGCAACAUUUAGUUUAUAAAUAAAAUUUAUUCAGUUUAUAAUAGUUGACGCUGCUUAAUAUGUUUUUAAAAAGUUUGGUAUCCAUCUGUGGUUUCACUAGUACGUAUAUUUGAACACCUAUGAUUUUUCUAUAGAAAUGAAGCUAAAUGUACUUCUGUAUCUCGUCGGCAGUUUAGAGCCUCCUAUUGUGUGAAUGGUAUAUCUUAGUUCACCAUCUUGAAGUUUUACCUCUCCUCUUGCCCCGGCUUAUAGAGACAGUAGUUCUCUGCAUAUGUGCUUGUGGUGCUAAUGUAACAUUACUUUUAAAAUACUUUUAUUUCAUUGUUAUCUUUUCAUAUUAGUGACAGUUCUUUGGGGGGGAAAUUGAUCUGUGAUGCUUUUUAAGUUUUUUUUUUUUAAUCUAUUUUUCUAUUUCUAGGCAAAUCCUGAUC